UCCGAAGUUUUCAAAAUAUAAAAGAUAAUCGAUUAUCCUUAUAGCAUAAUCGAUUAUGCAAAUGACCAUUGCCAAAGUAUUAUUAAACUCUGAAAGAUAAUCGAUUAUACACAAUCUGAUAAUCGAUUAUGCUAAUUAAAGUCUGCAUAUGAUUUUUUGAAUGUUGUCAGGUAAUCGAUUAUACACAAUCUGAAAAUCGAUUAUGCUAAGUAAAAUCUGAAUAUGAGUUUUUGAACGUUCUCAGGUAAUCGAUUAUACGAUUUGGAUAAUCGAUUAUUCUGCUUAAAAUCUGGGAAUGAUUUUUGAACGAUUUGAAAAUAAUCUAUUAUGCAAAUCAGAUAAUCGAUUAUCUUAGCACAAAAUCAGCAAUUCUUGAUUGGCAAUUAGGCAACGGUUGUGGGGGUUUUGAACACUAUAAAUACANN
rnacentral:lncRNA from 1 species